CAUGAAGCUGGAAUCGCUAGUAAUCGCAGGUCAGCAUACUGCGGUGAAUACGUUCCCGGGUCUUGUACACACCGCCCGUCACACCAUGGGAGCCGGAAAUGCCCGAAGCCAGUGACCCAACCUUAGGGAGGGAGCUGUCGAAGGUGGAGCCGGUAACUGGGUGAAGUCGUAACAAGGUAGC
rnacentral:rRNA from 1 species